GAUGAACGCUGGCGGCGUGCCUAAUACAUGCAAGUCGAGCGAACAGACGAGGAGCUUGCUCCUUUGACGUUAGCGGCGGACGGGUGAGUAACACGUGGGUAACCUACCUAUAAGACUGGGAUAACUUCGGGAAACCGGAGCUAAUACCGGAUAAUAUUUCGAACCGCAUGGUUCGAUAGUGAAAGAUGGCUUUGCUAUCACUUAUAGAUGGACCUGCGCCGUAUUAGCUAGUUGGUAAGGUAACGGCUUACCAAGGCAACGAUACGUAGCCGACCUGAGAGGGUGAUCGGCCACACUGGAACUGAGACACGGUCCAGACUCCUACGGGAGGCAGCAGUAGGGAAUCUUCCGCAAUGGGCGAAAGCCUGACGGAGCAACGCCGCGUGAGUGAUGAAGGUCUUCGGAUCGUAAAACUCUGUUAUUAGGGAAGAACAAACGUGUAAGUAACUGUGCACGUCUUGACGGUACCUAAUCAGAAAGCCACGGCUAACUACGUGCCAGCAGCCGCGGUAAUACGUAGGUGGCAAGCGUUAUCCGGAAUUAUUGGGCGUAAAGCGCGCGUAGGCGGUUUUUUAAGUCUGAUGUGAAAGCCCACGGCUCAACCGUGGAGGGUCAUUGGAAACUGGAAAACUUGAGUGCAGAAGAGGAAAGUGGAAUUCCAUGUGUAGCGGUGAAAUGCGCAGAGAUAUGGAGGAACACCAGUGGCGAAGGCGACUUUCUGGUCUGUAACUGACGCUGAUGUGCGAAAGCGUGGGGAUCAAACAGGAUUAGAUACCCUGGUAGUCCACGCCGUAAACGAUGAGUGCUAAGUGUUAGGGGGUUUCCGCCCCUUAGUGCUGCAGCUAACGCAUUAAGCACUCCGCCUGGGGAGUACGACCGCAAGGUUGAAACUCAAAGGAAUUGACGGGGACCCGCACAAGCGGUGGAGCAUGUGGUUCAAUUCGAAGCAACGCGAAGAACCUUACCAAAUCUUGACAUCCUUUGACCCUUCUAGAGAUAGAAGUUUCCCCUUCGGGGGACAAAGUGACAGGUGGUGCAUGGUUGUCGUCAGCUCGUGUCGUGAGAUGUUGGGUUAAGUCCCGCAACGAGCGCAACCCUUAAGCUUAGUUGCCAUCAUUAAGUUGGGCACUCUAGGUUGACUGCCGGUGACAAACCGGAGGAAGGUGGGGAUGACGUCAAAUCAUCAUGCCCCUUAUGAUUUGGGCUACACACGUGCUACAAUGGACAAUACAAAGGGCAGCGAAACCGCGAGGUCAAGCAAAUCCCAUAAAGUUGUUCUCAGUUCGGAUUGUAGUCUGCAACUCGACUACAUGAAGCUGGAAUCGCUAGUAAUCGUAGAUCAGCAUGCUACGGUGAAUAAAAUCCCGGGUCU
rnacentral:rRNA from 1 species